CCCUAUGGGGUGCACCAGGCGGAUGGAUUUUCAUUGUGGAGCCGGAAAUCGGAUUCGUAGAGAAUAUCCUGGUCCCGGAUAUUGCCGGUUGGAAGAGGGAAAGAUUCCCUAAAGCGGAAGCCCAUAACUGGAUUUCGGUUGCUCCGGAUUGGAUCUGCGAGGUCCUUUCUCCACAUACCGCUCGUUAUGACCGAAUCGGAAAAAUGCGCAUCUACAUCCGGCACAGGGUACCCUACGUCUGGCUGGUCGAUCCCAUCCUUAUGACCCUGGAAGCUUACAGCAUCGAACCUGACGGCAGACUUAUCCUGAACUCUUUUGUGGGGAAUGAAAAAGCACGCGUGGAGCCGUUUUCGGAGCUGGAGCUCGAUCUCGGCCUCUUUUGGCUGGAGGAAUGAAUUGGCGGGGGGGC
rnacentral:rRNA from 1 species